AUGAGCUGUUCACUGGCCCGCCUCUGCCUGCUGACCCUGCUGUCGCCACCCCUCAGCUCAGCAGCCUCCAUCUCCCCAGCUGAGCCCAUCAGUCAAGCCUAUAGCCUGGCCCUCUACAUGCAGAAGAACACCUCAGCGCUGCUGCGGACUUAUCUCCAGUACCAGGGCAGCCCCUUUAGUGACCCUGGCUUCUCAGCCCCUGAGCUCCAGCUCAGCAGCCUGCCUCCUGCCACCGCCUUCUUUAAGACCUGGCACGCCCUGGAUGACGGGGAACGGCUGAGCCUUGCCCAGAGGGCCAUUGACCCAGCACCUCCAGCUCGUGGAGGACGACCAGAGCGACCUGAACCCUGGCAGUCCCAUCCUGCCGGCUCAGCUCGGGGCUGCGAGACUCAGGGCCCAAGGCCUGCUGGGCAAUAUGGCCGCCAUCAUGACGGCCCUGGGGCUGCCAAUCCCCCCAGAAGAGGAUACUCUAGGGCUUGCUGCCUUUGGGGCCUCGGCCUUUGAGAGGAAAUGUCGAGGCUACGUGGUGACCCGGGAAUAUGGCCACUGGACAGACCGAGCUGUGAGAGACUUGGCUCUGCUCAAGGCUAAGUACUCAGCAUAG
rnacentral:lncRNA from 1 species